UACAGAGGGUGCAAGCGUUAAUCGGAAUUACUGGGCGUAAAGCGUGCGUAGACGGUUGCGUAAGUCAGAUGUGAAAGCCCCGGGCUCAACCUGGGAAUUGCAUUUGAGACUGCGUAGCUAGGGUGCGGAAGAGGGAAGCGGAAUUUCCGGUGUAGCGGUGAAAUGCGUAGAUAUCAGGAGGAACACCGGUGGCGAAGGCGGUUCUCUGGGCAUUACCUGACGCUGAGGAGCGAAAGUGUGGGGAGCGAACAGG
rnacentral:rRNA from 1 species